CCCUUAGAUGUUCUGGGCCGCACGCGUGCUACACUGAGUGGAUCAGCGGGUCAGGUUGCGCGAAAGCGUUUCCUAAUCUUUAAAUCCGCUCGUGAUGGGGAUUGACGGUUGCAAUUUUCUGUCAUGAACGAGGAAUACCUUGUAAGCGCGGGUCAUCAUCCCGCGCUGAAUACGUCCCUGCCCUUUGUACACACCGCCCGUCGCUCCUGCCGAUUGAGUGGUCCGGUGGGGCUUUGGGAUCUGAGCGGAAAGAGCGUUUCGCUGUUUCUGCUCGGAAAACUCAGUCGAACCUUAUCAUUUAGAGGAAGGAGAAGUCGUAACA
rnacentral:rRNA from 1 species